UGGCGAACGGGUGAGUAACACGUGGGCAAUCUGCCCUGUACUUUGGGAUAAGCCUUGGAAACGGGGUCUAAUACCGGAUAUCACAUUCUCUCGCAUGGGGGUUUGUUGAAAGUUCUGGCGGUACAGGAUGAGCCCGCGGCCUAUCAGCUUGUUGGUGGGGUAAUGGCCUACCAAGGCGACGACGGGUAGCCGGCCUGAGAGGGUGACCGGCCACACUGGGACUGAGACACGGCCCAG
rnacentral:rRNA from 1 species